rnacentral:rRNA from 1 species
CUUACACAUGCAGUCGAGCGGAGAUGAGGUGCUUGCACCUUAUCUUAGCGGCGGACGGGUGAGUAAUGCUUAGGAAUCUGCCUAUUAGUGGGGGACAACAUUCCGAAAGGAAUGCUAAUACCGCAUACGUCCUACGGGAGAAAGCAGGGGAUCUUCGGACCUUGCGCUAAUAGAUGAGCCUAAGUCGGAUUAGCUAGUUGGUGGGGUAAAGGCCUACCAAGGCGACGAUCUGUAGCGGGUCUGAGAGGAUGAUCCGCCACACUGGGACUGAGACACGGCCCAGACUCCUACGGGAGGCAGCAGUGGGGAAUAUUGGACAAUGGGGGGAACCCUGAUCCAGCCAUGCCGCGUGUGUGAAGAAGGCCUUAUGGUUGUAAAGCACUUUAAGCGAGGAGGAGGCUACUGAGACUAAUACUCUUGGAUAGUGGACGUUACUCGCAGAAUAAGCACCGGCUAACUCUGUGCCAGCAGCCGCGGUAAUACAGAGGGUGCGAGCGUUAAUCGGAUUUACUGGGCGUAAAGCGUGCGUAGGCGGCUUUUUAAGUCGGAUGUGAAAUCCCCGAGCUUAACUUGGGAAUUGCAUUCGAUACUGGGAAGCUAGAGUAUGGGAGAGGAUGGUAGAAUUCCAGGUGUAGCGGUGAAAUGCGUAGAGAUCUGGAGGAAUACCGAUGGCGAAGGCAGCCAUCUGGCCUAAUACUGACGCUGAGGUACGAAAGCAUGGGGAGCAAACAGGAUUAGAUACCCUGGUAGUCCAUGCCGUAAACGAUGUCUACUAGCCCGUUGGGGCCUUUGAUGCUUUAGUGGCGCAGCUAACGCGAUAGUAGACCGCCUGGAGGAGUACGGUCGCAAGAACUAAAACUCAUAUGAAUUGACGGGUGGCC